AAGACCUGCGCUUUUGGAGCGGCCGAUGUCUGAUUAGCUUGUUGGUGAGGUAAAGGCUUACCAAGGCUUCGAUCAGUAGCUGGUCUGAGAGGACGGCCAGCCACACUGGGACUGAGACACGGCCCAGACUCCUACGGGAGGCAGCAGUGGGGAAUUUUGGACAAUGGGGGCAACCCUGAUCCAGCCAUGCCGCGUGAGUGAAGAAGGCCUUCGGGUUGUAAAGCUCUUUCAGCCGGAACGAAACGGUUACGGUUAAUACCCGUGACUACUGACGGUACCGGAAGAAGAAGCACCGGCUAACUACGUGCCAGCAGCCGCGGUAAUACGUAGGGUGCAAGCGUUAAUCGGAAUUACUGGGCGUAAAGCGUGCGCAGGUGGUUUUGUAAGUCAGAUGUGAAAUCCCCGGGCUUAACCUGGGAACU
rnacentral:rRNA from 1 species